CCUACGGGAGGCAGCAGUGAGGAAUCUUGGUCAAUGGGCGAGAGCCUGAACCAGCCAAGUCGCGUGAGGGAAGACGGUCCUAUGGAUUGUAAACCUCUUUUGCCGGGGAGCAAAAAGCGGUACGUGUACCGCAUCGAGAGUACCCGGAGAAAAAGCAUCGGCUAACUCCGUGCCAGCAGCCGCGGUCAUACGGAGGAUGCGAGCGUUAUCCGGAUUUCUUGGGUGCAAAGGGUGCGUAGGCUGUGAGGUAAGUCAGCGGUGAAAUGCCCCCGCUCAACGGGGUGAAGUGCCAUUGUUACUGCCUUGCUGGAAUGCGGAUGCCGUGGGAGGAAUGUGUGGUGUAGCGGUGAAAUGCAUAGAUAGCACACAGAACACCGAUUGCGAAGGCAUCUCACGAAUCCGCGAUUGACGCUGAUGCACGAAAGCGUGGGUAUCAAACAGGAUUAGAUACCCUUGUAGUC
rnacentral:rRNA from 1 species